rnacentral:rRNA from 1 species
ACGGGUGAGAAACGCGUAGGAAUCUGCCUUACAGAGGGGGACAACUAGAGGAAACUCUAGCUAAUACCGCAUAAAGUCUGCGGACCAAAGGCUGGGUAGCAAUACCUGGCGCUGUAAGAGGAGCCUGCGUCCGAUUAGCUAGUUGGUAGGGUAAAGGCCUACCAAGGCGAUGAUCGGUAGCUGGUCUGAGAGGAUGAUCAGCCACACUGGGACUGAGACACGGCCCUGACUCCUACGGGAGGCAGCAGUGGGGAAUAUUGGACAAUGGGGGCAACCCUGAUCCAGCAAUACCGCGUGUGUGAAGAAGGCCUUCGGGUUGUAAAGCACUUUAGGUUGGGAAGAAGGUGUGUAGUUUAAGAGAUGACACAUUUGACUGUACCGACAGAAUAAGCACCGGCUAACUCUGUGCCAGCAGCCGCGGUAAUACAGAGGGUGCAAGCGUUAAUCGGAGUUACUGGGCGUAAAGGGCGCGUAGGCGGUUUAGUAAGUGAGAUGUGAAAGCCCUGGGCUUAACCUAGGAACUGCAUCUUAUACUGUUAGACUAGAGUACUGUAGAGGGUAGUGGAAUUUCCGGUGUA